CUCCCCCCUGCCGGAGCCCCGUGGAGCUUUUAGGUGUUUUCGCUCAAUAAACACACACAACGCCCGGUCUGGGAAUCGAAACCGCGAUCCUCCAGCAAUUCUGCUGCCCUAACCACUGUGUCAUUGUGCCUCCACGAUGCAAUUAAAUGCUUAAUAUAUUAAUAAUAAUAAU